rnacentral:misc_RNA from 1 species
AUAAAAUUCUGAUUAAAGAAACUGACUGGAAAAUGAGAUAUUAUGCAAUAAAUUUACAGUAGUACUGAACACACAAAUAAAUAAAUAAAUAUGCCAUGACAUGGCUCAACACAGGCAGCCCUAAAGCUCAUGGGAAAUAUAGCUUUAGAAAUUUAUCACACACAUGGAAGGAGCAAACAUGUUCUGGACAACAGAGAGAGAUUCAUGUAUUCUCAUGAUUGAUACUAUGUAAAUACCAAGAUACCAAACAUUUUCUCAAGUGUAAAAAGAAUUUAAUAUUCUUGUGCGUAAUCAAAACAAAGAAUCUUGCUUGUACUAAUAACACCAUAGACACUUGACUCUCAUCAUACACAAAUAAAUAUAGAAAUACACAUUGAAGGGAAAAAUAAGAAACGCAUAAGAGAUAAAAAAUUGAUAUACCAACUUAAAUAAGACAAAAU